GCUUCCACUAUGUUGAUUUUGGUUGUGUUUAGGUUAAUUUAUCUUUAAGUUAUGUACAAUAAAUUUAUUUUUAGUUAUACCUCAUGUGUGGUCUCCCCUCCUUUGUCCAGCCUUGAGCCAGGUUGUGACAAGUAUUAAGUUGAUUCAGUAGAUGUGGCGUUUACAUGGAACAUGAGAAACCUGGUUAUUCUUUUUACACACCCAAAAUAUGGAACACCUUACCAGCAGAAAUGAAAGAGAUGACCCCAGCGAGCACCUUUAAAAGCCAAGUAAAACUUCAUCUACACAAACUGGCCUUCAAUUAACUUCCUCCCCAACAUCUACCUACGUUGUUGAUCAGUGCAGUCAGGUAGCAGCAGAAGGUGCUUCUACAUUUUCAUACUGGACUUCAUCGCCAUCGUCAUGCUCCUGUGA